rnacentral:rRNA from 1 species
UACGUAGGUGGCAAGCGUUGUCCGGAUUUACUGGGCGUAAAGGGCGUGCAGGCGGUCUGUUAAGUCUAGGGUGAAAGCUCCCGGCUCAACUGGGAGAGGUCCUUGGAUACUGGCGGACUUGAGGGAGGCAGAGGAAAGUGGAAUUCCCGGUGUAGUGGUGAUAUGCGUAGAUAUCGGGAGGAACACCAGUGGCGAAGGCGGCAUCCUGGCCCUGUCCUGACGCUCAGGGGCGAAAGCGUGGGGAGCAAACAGG